AAGUCGUAACAAGGUCUCCGUUGGUGAACCAGCGGAGGGAUCAUUACCGAGUUUACAACUCCCAAACCCCUGUGAACAUACCACUUGUUGCCUCGGCGGAUCAGCCCGCUCCCGGUAAAACGGGACGGCCCGCCAGAGGACCCCUAAACUCUGUUUCUAUAUGUAACUUCUGAGUAAAACCAUAAAUAAAUCAAAACUUUCAACAACGGAUCUCUUGGUUCUGGCAUCGAUGAAGAACGCAGCAAAAUGCGAUAAGUAAUGUGAAUUGCAGAAUUCAGUGAAUCAUCGAAUCUUUGAACGCACAUUGCGCCCGCCAGUAUUCUGGCGGGCAUGCCUGUUCGAGCGUCAUUUCAACCCUCAAGCACAGCUUGGUGUUGGGACUCGCGUUAAUUCGCGUUCCUCAAAUUGAUUGGCGGUCACGUCGAGCUUCCAUAGCGUAGUAGUAAAACCCUCGUUACUGGUAAUCGUCGCGGCCACGCCGUUAAACCCCAACUUCUGAAUGUUGACCUCGGAUCAGGUAGGAAUACCCGCUAAACUUAA
rnacentral:misc_RNA from 1 species